AUCAUCAUAUCCUUUCCCAGUUCAAACCCUAGACCUUACUCCUCUCGAUUUCAUGUUCAUCUUUCAAGGUCUCGGUUAAAACCCUUUACUCAGUUGGUUCGUUUACACCCUAAUGAUCUAAUUCCGGCAAAUCUGAUGGAGAAGUUUUGAAUUGACGUCCAAUCUUAGAUUUAUUUGGUGAUCUUAGUACUUAUUCCAUCAUCGUAGAUGAUGAUUGAAGAAGAAUGUCGUAUGAAGAGCUUUUGGUGACGAUACAGGACCCUAUCAUCAGUUUUUUAUCCAACUCUUGCUCAUAUUAUCGUUAAUCCUCUGUUGCUUACUAUUGAAAAGAGAAUUGCUCUUUUGGUGCUCAGCUUGUGCCCUGCAGAAGCUAUUUCUAAAUUCUGAUUGAGUUAUUAGGAAUUCCUGAAAGCUUUACUUAUGAGAAGAACUACAAAGAAGAUUUGAUUGUCACCAGAGAAAUUUAGAGUAAAUUGGUUGGGAGCGGAGUUAGGCGACAUGGCAAACAAUCUAAUCUGGAAAUUUGAUAAAGAAGAUCCGAGAGGCGUACUUCAGGCCGGAAACACCAGCAUCACUGCUUUAGAUGCUUAUCCCCUAUAUUCACCGAGUUUGAAGAACUUGAGUCAAAGCUUCAGAAAUAUAUGUUAAGAUGCAGUGGAUUUUUAAAAAAAACAUCACCAACAUCCAGCUGCUUCAUGGGCCUUGCAGUCCUUGCCGAAUGCGUGAACUCAAAACUGAUAAUCUCAGGUAUACAUUAUGAGUUUUACCUCCACUACCAUCUCUUAAUGCACACAGGUAAGGUAACAAGACUCUGAAUAUCUGUGUAAGGGGUCCACAUUGAAGAUUGGCAUUUGGGUGCUAAUCAGGUUGGUAACAACCAAUCGAGGACGACUCCGACCCAGGCCCGGUACUGAUAGUUAUAUGCUCCACUUUUGUGAAGAAACUAUCAAGGUAUCGCAUGUCUAGCGUACUGAGAAUAACGGGUUAUGCCAUUAUUGUUGGAAUGAGUCAUGAAUAUCACUGUAUAGUUAGUACUAUAGUGUUAAAUUACUGUAGAAUUAGUGUUAGUGUUAAGAUAUUUUCCUCCUAAUCCUAGAUGUGUAAGGAUACCUAAUUGUAUAAAAAGGAGUCUCUCCUAUGGGUGAAAAAGAACCCUUUCACUAUCUCUUUCUCUGUUUCUACAUGGUAUCAGAGCAAAGGAGGCAGAGAAGAGAAAAUCUAGCCUAGAUCCCCUUUAAAGCUUAGAUCUACUAUAGUUUCAAUCUGGAAUUAGACUUGAAAGUUAGACUCGCAAGCUGUUCGUGAAGAACCAGUGGCUGAUCUGCAAAGGUUUCUCCUUUUGAAAGUUGUGGUUCCUUCUUUAAAAGUUGUUCUUUUUUUCUCUCUUAUCUGUUGAGUUAAAAGUAGAUAUGAUGGCUGAAGCCUCUGAGAAUAGUGUUUCUUCUCAGUCUAUGGGUUCUACAUCUCUAGAUGUUUCUCACAAUGGUACUAUGAGCAGAAAUAUGAUAUCUUGUAAACUUGAUGAUACAAAUUACCUUGUUUGGUCUCACUGCGUGAAACUUUACAUUACGGGUAAAGGAAAGCUUGGGUACCUGACCGGAACUAAAGCUUGUCCAGAUGAAAAAGACCCUACAUAUGAUACCUGGAUUCAAUAGAACGCCAUGAUAAUGAGUUUAUUGAUAGACUCAAUGACUCCCGACAUCAAGAGCAGUUAUAUGCGCUUAACCACAGCAAAAGAAGUGUGGGAGGCAGUCACUCAGAUCUAUGUUGUGAGCGGUGAUGCGACAAAGAUUUAUGAAUUGAAUCGUAGGAUUAUCGAGAUUCGCCAGAACAGCAGACCUCUAUCCGUCUACUUCAAUGCACUUCAAACUAUAUGGCAAGAACUUGAUUUCCUACAGCCCUUAGACAUGGUGUGUGCAGCUGAUACCGUUAAGUUGCAGAAAAGAAUUUAAAAAGGGAGAAUUAUUGAGUUCCUUGCGGGGCUUGACUCGGAUUCUGAUCCAAUUAGAAUCCAAGUGUUAGGAAAAGAUCCAUUGCCAACCCUACGAGCAGUAUAUGGAACAGUUAGAUCGGAAGAACUUCGUCGAGCUGCUAUGAUACCUGCAAUGCCACAAGAAAGUUCCGCCUUGGAUGUGAUUACUCCACCAACAUCCACACGCGAAAACAAUCGACAAUCUGGUGAGGAAGACUCAUUAUACUGUGAUUAUUGUCACAAGCGUAGGCAUACUAGGGAGACUUGUUACAAGCGCAAUGGUCGUACGUAAUGGAAGAACAACAAUAGGAGAGGGGUCAACUCUAGUGGAAGUAGUGGAGGAAGAAGAGGAGGUCGCAACACUAGUUCAAGGGAAUAUAACACUACUGAUGAGAUGGAACUUCAAUCUACAUCAGCAGCGAAUGGCUAUUCUCAUUCUUCUCAAGACCAGCUGGAGCGGAUGAUUAAAGAAUGUGCGCGGAUGCUAUCAGCCAAGGAAAAUGCUGAUGGGUCUACAUAUUUGGCUCAACCAGGUCCUACUCACAGGAGCGACGAUUGGACUUGGUAAAAGAGAGAGGGGGCCUUUACUACUUGAACUUGCAAGGAACAACACAAGAUGGCAGUACAAGGGCUUGCAAUUCGACAAGUGUAUCCAAGGUAGAAGAUCAAAUCUGGCUAUGGCACAAACGAUUGGGACAUCCUUCUUUUGGGUACUUAAAAAAGUUGUUUCCUAAGUUAUUUUCUGAACUAGAAGUAUCUAAACUCCAUUGUGAAGUGUGUGAGUUAGCUAAA